rnacentral:rRNA from 1 species
GGCUGAAAACUUAAAGGAAUUGACGGAAGAGCACCACCAGGAGUGGAGCCUGCGGCUUAAUUUGACUCAACACGGGGAAACUCACCAGGUCCAGACGUAAUAAGGAUUGACAAGUUAGAGACUUCUCUUGAUCUUACGGGUGGUGGUGCAUGGCCGUUUUUAGUCCUUGGAGUGAUUUGUCUGCUUAAUUGCGAUAACGGACGAGACCUUAACCUGCUAAAUAGGGCUGCGAGCAUCUGCUCGCGGGCUCUUCUUAGAGGGACUAUGGGUAACAAACCCAUGGAAGUUUGAGGCAACAACAGGUCUGUGAUGCCCUUAGACGUUCUGGGCCGCACGCGCGCUACACUGACGGAGCCAGCAAGUACAACCUUGGUCGAGAGGCCUGGGUAAUCUCGUGAAACUCCGUCGUGCUGGGGAUAGAGCAUUGUAAUUUUUGCUCUUCAACGAGGAAUUCCUAGUAAGCGCAAGUCAUCAACUUGCGUUGAUUACGUCCCUGCUCUUUGUACACACCGCCCGUCGCUACUACCGAUUGAAUGGCUUAGUGAGGCUUCAAGAUUGGCCCUGCGGCGGAGGCAACUCUGCCCUGGCGCCGAGAAUUUAGUCAAACUUGGUCAU